rnacentral:rRNA from 1 species
UACGUAGGGCGCAAGCGUUAUCCGGAAUUAUUGGGCGUAAAGAGCUCGUAGGCGGUUUGUCGCGUCUGCUGUGAAAACCCGAGGCUCAACCUCGGGCCUGCAGUGGGUACGGGCAGACUAGAGUGCGGUAGGGGAGAUUGGAAUUCCUGGUGUAGCGGUGGAAUGCGCAGAUAUCAGGAGGAACACCGGUGGCGAAGGCGGGUCUCUGGGCCGUAACUGACGCUGAGGAGCGAAAGCGUGGGGAGCGAACAGG